rfam:Eutrema salsugineum unplaced genomic scaffold scaffold_14, whole genome shotgun sequence.
AACCCAUGGUGUGGGCACUGGUUUGUGUAGCUCCUAAAUCUCUCCCAUGCUUCACCAAAACUCUCAUUGCUAUGUUGAAUGAAGCUGGAGAUUUGGUUUCUCAGUUU